rnacentral:snRNA from 1 species
AUGCAGCCCCAAUCGGGCG